AUUAAACUUUGUGCCUGAGGGGCUCCACCACUAUGACAUCACCCAAACCUGUUUUUAUGCUGAAGAUGCAAAGCAAUGAGCAGAGCAGGUUAUCAGCAUCAGAGGGAGGUGAACAAGAAUCACAACUGCAGGUGACCCCGGUUAAUAAAACUCACAAGCACUGUCGGGUGGCACUGAGAAGAUCCUGCCGUCAGUAGCGGCGG